rnacentral:rRNA from 1 species
GUUUGAUCCUGGCUCAGGACGAACGCUGGCGGCGUGCUUAACACAUGCAAGUCGAACGAUGAAGCCUUUCGGGGUGGAUUAGUGGCGAACGGGUGAGUAACACGUGGGCAAUAUGCCCUUCACUCUGGGACAAGCCCUGGAAACGGGGUCUAAUACCGGAUAACACUCUGUCCCGCAUGGGACGGGGUUAAAAGCUCCGGCGGUGAAGGAUGAGCCCGCGGCCUAUCAGCUUGUUGGUGGGGUAAUGGCCUACCAAGGCGACGACGGGUAGCCGGCCUGAGAGGGCGACCGGCCACACUGGGANUGAGACACGGCCCAGACUCCUAUCGGGAGGCAGCAGCGGGGAAUAUUGCAGCAAUGGGCGAAAGCCUGAUGCAGCGACGCCGCGUGAGGGAUGACGGCCCUCCGGGUUGUAAACCUCUUUCAGCAGGGAAGAAG